rnacentral:rRNA from 1 species
AUUGAACGCUGGCGGCAUGCCUUACACAUGCAAGUCGAACGGUAACAGGUCUUCGGAUGCUGACGAGUGGCGAACGGGUGAGUAAUACAUCGGAGCGUGCCCGAUCGUGGGGGAUAACGAGGCGAAAGCUUUGCUAAUACCGCAUACGAUCUACGGAUGAAAGCGGGGGAUCUUCGGACCUCGCGCGGACGGAGCGGCCGAUGGCAGAUUAGGUAGUUGGUGGGAUAAAAGCUUACCAAGCCGACGAUCUGUAGCUGGUCUGAGAGGAUGAUCAGCCACACUGGGACUGAGACACGGCCCAGACUCCUACGGGAGGCAGCAGUGGGGAAUUUUGGACAAAGGGCGAAAGCCUGAUCCAGCCAUGCCGCGUGCAGGAUGAAGGCCUUCGGGUUGUAAACUGCUUUUGUACGGAACGAAAAGCCUCUUUCUAAUAAAGAGGGGUCAUGACGGUACCGUAAGAAUAAGCACCGGCUAACUACGUG